CAAAGUGUAGCUUAAAUAAAGCAUCUUGCUUACACCAAGAAAAUAUGCCACACCAGGUAUCGCUUUGA
rnacentral:tRNA from 1 species